AAAAUGGGAUAACCGCUGAAAGCAUCUAAGCGGGAAGCCCCUUCCAAGAUGAGAUCUCCCUGGACCCUUGAGGUCCCUGAAGAGCCGUUCAAGACCAGGACGUUGAUAGGCAGGGUGUGUAAGCGUUGUAAGGCGUUGAGCUAACCUGUACUAAUUGCUCGUGAGGCUUGAU
rnacentral:rRNA from 1 species